AGGACAACCGGAAGCGCCUGAGUAAUGAUUUCGGUGCUCAGUGAUACGGUUCACUAGACGACGUUGUCAACACGUAAUGGCGGCCAUUGUUUGACGUUGGAUUUGGCAUUCCACGCAGUAAAGAUGCAUUUAUGACAUUCUUGGAUGCUAAAACUUAAUGCCACACAACAUAAAAGGAUGGAGAAAGAUGUUCACUCUGGAUCAAAAAUUCAAAACAGAGGAUCUUUUUAUUCAAACAAAAAUACUUGUACAUUUAUGAUAUUCUGUACAUACAACAAGAAAACAGUAAUCAAAUGGAAUGUCCAGUGAUGUUGAAAACAAAAUUAUUUUUGUUAACAGAAAACAAUAGGACUACAAUAUAUUAAGGAAGAAUAAUUUUACUGGAGGAUAAAAAAUUUAAUACCUGGAAUCAGCAAUUUACAAAAUGUAUAUGAAAUUUAUUAAGAGAGAUAUAUUCAUGUACAGAAUGGUAACCCCACCAAAUAACUCAGGUGGUUCAAGUGAUUAUUAGCAGACAUUUUUGUUUAACUAAUGUAGGAUUAAAUAAAUGAAGCUUUAGCAGACUAUGGGCUCCAAAGUGUAGUAAAAAGAGGAUUUUUAAAUAUGACAGACUCAUAAACAUUAAAAUGUGCAUAAGUGAAAUGUUACAAUAUUUAGUAAAACAUUCAGAUUAUUGA